rnacentral:sRNA from 1 species
UAUUGAUAUGUAGAGAGUUAUCUCACUUGAUUGUUCACAGUCAGUUACAGAUUGAACUCCUUGUUCUACUACUUAACCCCCCUCCUCACUACUGCACUUGUCUAGUCUUAA